rnacentral:tRNA from 1 species
UAGCUCAGUUGGUCAGAGUGCUUGCCUUAUAUGCAUAAGGCCCUGGAUUCAAUCUCCAG